AACGAACGCUGGCGGCAUGCCUAACACAUGCAAGUCGAACGAGACCUUCGGGUCUAGUGGCGCACGGGUGCGUAACGCAUGGGAACCUGCCCUUAGGUUCGGAAUAACUCCCCGAAAGGGGUGCUAAUACCGGAUAAUGUCUUCGGACCAAAGAUUUAUCGCCUUUGGAUGGGCCCGCGUUGGAUUAGCUAGUUGGUAGGGUAAAAGCCUACCAAGGCGACGAUCCAUAGCUGGUCUGAGAGGAUGAUCAGCCACACUGGGACUGAGACACGGCCCAGACUCCUACGGGAGGCAGCAGUGGGGAAUAUUGGACAAUGGGCGAAAGCCUGAUCCAGCAAUGCCGCGUGAGUGAUGAAGGCCUUAGGGUUGUAAAGCUCUUUUACCCGGGAUGAUAAUGACAGUACCGGGAGAAUAAGCUCCGGCUAACUCCGU
rnacentral:rRNA from 1 species